AGGAAACACAAGAUAUAAAUUCCGAUUUAUCUAAUUCUUUGGUUCCUGAAAAUAUAAAUCACAAUACAUGAAAGUGUAUUAUUUGCAAAAAAAUUUCUCAUAAAAGGGUGAAAACAUUACAUACAAUUUCAUCUGCUGAAAGGUUGGUCAAUCUUAAACAUGUUGCUGUUAGAGCAUGCGAUGCUGAAAUGAAUUAUCGAAUAGGG
rnacentral:lncRNA from 1 species